GGUGAGUGACUGUGGCGGAGGAGAGCCCUGAGUCCCGGCACUUUCAUCCUGAUGCUGAAGCUGAUUACUUGGUACCAUUGUCAACGACAGAAAGUCUCCCUCUUGGUAGCCCAAAAGGGGAAGGGGAAUCUCAUCUUCACUGUGAGGAGGGGAGAAUUCAGAAUUCAGGGCCCAGAAAGGAAUCAGAACUGAAAAAACAAACCAUAAACCACAAGAAAAUAAAUUUUAAUUAGACAGUAUCUCAAGGACAUUGUCCCUGUUUUUAGGAACUCCUAGAAAUGGGUGUUCAUAAAUAGGGAGGCAAUAGGGCAG
rnacentral:lncRNA from 1 species